rnacentral:rRNA from 1 species
UGAGGAAUAUUGGGCAAUGCCCGCAAGGGUGACCCAGCAACGCCGCGUGGAGGAUGAAUGUCGUAAGAUUGUAAACUCCUGUUAGAGGGGAAGAAUAGUACCGGUUGGACCGGUAUAUGACUGUACCCUCAGAGAAAGCCCCGGCUAACUACGUGCCAGCAGCCGCGGUAAUACGUAGGGGGCAAGCGUUGUCCGGAUUUACUGGGUGUAAAGGGCGCGCAGGCGGGAUAAAAAGUCAGUGGUGAAAUCCUACAGCUUAACUGUAGAACUGCCUUUGAUACUUUUAGUCUUGAGUUCGGGAGAGAGAGACGGAAUUCCAGGUGUAGUGGUGAAAUACGUAGAUAUCUGGAAGAACACCAGUUGCGAAGGCGGUCUCUUGGUCCGACACUGACGCUGAGGCGCGAAAGCGUGGGGAGCAAACA